rnacentral:rRNA from 1 species
UUGGUAAAUUUCGUGCCAGCCACCGCGGUCAUACGAUUAACCCAAACUAAUAAACACCCGGCGUAAAGCGUGAUUAGAACAUAANNAACAAAAANNNNNUAAAAUCAAAUAACAACUAAGCUGUAAAAAGUAAUAGUUGCAAAUAAAAAUAAACGACGAAAGUGAUUUUAUAGCCUUCGAACUCACGAUAGCUAAGAUCCAAACUGGGAUUAGAUACCCCACUAUGCUUAGCCUUAAACCUAAAUAAUUUUAUNAACAAAAUUAUUCGCCAGAGAACUACAAGCCAGAGCUUAAAACUCAAAGGACUUGGCGGUGCUUUAUACCCGCCUAGAGGAGCCUGUUCUAUAAUCGAUAAACCCCGAUAAACCUUACCACUCUUUGCCAACNUCAGCCUAUAUACCGCCAUCUUCAGCAAACCCUAAAAAGGAGCAAAAGUAAGCUCAAUCAUCACNCAUAAAAACGUUAGGUCAAGGUGUAGCCUAUAGAGUGGAAAGCAAUGGGCUACAUUUNUCUACNNNNUUUAGAAUACNNACGAAAGCCCCUAUGAAACUCUAGAGACCAAAGGAGGAUUUA